rnacentral:rRNA from 1 species
GCCUACGGGGGGCAGCAGUAGGGAAUCUUCCACAAUGGGCGAAAGCCUGAUGGAGCAACGCCGCGUGGGUGAAGAAGGUCUUCGGAACGUAAAACCCUGUUGUUAGAGAAGAAAGUGCGUGAGAGUAACUGUUCACGUUUCGACGGUAUCUAACCAGAAAGCCACGGCUAACUACGUGCCAGCAGCCGCGGUAAUACGUAGGUGGCAAGCGUUAUCCGGAUUUAUUGGGCGUAAAGAGAACGCGGGCGGUCUUUUAAGUCUGAUGUGAAAGCCUUCGGCUUAACCGGAGUAGUGCAUUGGAAACU